GACGAACGCUGGCGGCGUGCUUAACACAUGCAAGUCGAACGGACCCUUUGGGGUUAGUGGCGAACGGGUGAGUAACACGUGGGUGAUCUGCCCUGCACUUUGGGAUAAGCCUGGGAAACUGGGUCUAAUACCGGAUAGGACUACGCACUGCAUGGUGUGUGGUGGAAAGCUUUUGCGGUGUGGGAUGGGCCCGCGGCCUAUCAGCUUGUUGGUGGGGUGAUGGCCUACCAAGGCGACGACGGGUAGCCGGCCUGAGAGGGUGACCGGCCACACUGGGACUGAGGUACGGCCCAGACUCCUACGGGAGGCAGCAGUGGGGAAUAUUGCACAAUGGGCGCAAGCCUGAUGCAGCGACGCCGCGUGAGGGAUGACGGCCUUCGGGCUGUAAACCUCUUUCGCCAGGGACGAAGCGCAAGUGACGGUACCUGGAGAAGAAGGACCGGCCAACUACGUGCCAGCAGCCGCGGUAAUACGUAGGGUCCGAGCGUUGUCCGGAAUUACUGGGCGUAAAGAGCUCGUAGGUGGUUUGUCGCGUUGUUCGUGAAAACUCACAGCUUAACUGUGGGCGUGCGGGCGAUACGGGCAGACUGGAGUACUGCAGGGGAGACUGGAAUUCCUGGUGUAGCGGUGGAAUGCGCAGAUAUCAGGAGGAACACCGGUGGCGAAGGCGGGUCUCUGGGCAGUAACUGACGCUGAGGAGCGAAAGCGUGGGGAGCGAACAGGAUUAGAUACCCUGGUAGUCCACGCCGUAAACGGUGGGUACUAGGUGUGGGUUUCCUUCCUUGGGAUCCGUGCCGUAGCUAACGCAUUAAGUACCCCGCCUGGGGAGUACGGCCGCAAGGCUAAAACUCAAAGGAAUUGACGGGGGCCCGCACAAGCGGCGGAGCAUGUGGAUUAAUUCGAUGCAACGCGAAGAACCUCACCUGGGUUUGACAUGCACAGGACGCCGGCAGAGAUGUCGGUUCCCUUGUGGCCUGUGUGCAGGUGGUGCAUGGCUGUCGUCAGCUCGUGUCGUGAGAUGUUGGGUUAAGUCCCGCAACGAGCGCAACCCUUGUCUCAUGUUGCCAGCACGUUAUGGUGGGGACUCGUGAGAGACUGCCGGGGUCAACUCGGAGGAAGGUGGGGAUGACGUCAAGUCAUCAUGCCCCUUAUGUCCAGGGCUUCACACAUGCUACAAUGGCCGGUACAAAGGGCUGCGAUGCCGUGAGGUGGAGCGAAUCCUUUCAAAGCCGGUCUCAGUUCGGAUCGGGGUCUGCAACUCGACCCCGUGAAGUCGGAGUCGCUAGUAAUCGCAGAUCAGCAACGCUGCGGUGAAUACGUUCCCGGGCCU
rnacentral:rRNA from 1 species